AUUGAACGCUGGCGGCAGGCCUAACACAUGCAAGUCGAGCGCGAAAGUCUUCGGAUGAGUAAAGCGGCGGACGGGUGAGUAACGCGUGGGAAUCUGCCUAGUAGUGGGGGACAACGUUCCGAAAGGAACGCUAAUACCGCAUACGCCCUACGGGGAAAGGGGGGGAGUCUUCGGACCUCUCGCUAUUAGAUGAGCCCGCGUCGGAUUAGCUAGUUGGUAGGGUAAAGGCCUACCGAGGCGACGAUCGGUAACUGGUCUGAGAGGAUGAUCAGUCACACUGGAACUGAGACACGGUCCAGACUCCUACGGGAGGCAGCAGUGGGGAAUAUUGGACAAUGGGGGCAACCCUGAUCCAGCCAUGCCGCGUGUGUGAAGAAGGCCUUCGGGUUGUUAAAGGACACUUUAAGUCGGGGAGGAAGGACGUCUAUGGCUAAUAUCCAUGGGGAUUGACGUUACCCGCA
rnacentral:rRNA from 1 species